AACGAACGCUGGCGGCAUGCCUAACACAUGCAAGUCGAACGAGACCUUCGGGUCUAGUGGCGCACGGGUGCGUAACGCGUGGGAACCUGCCCUUAGGUUCGGAAUAACUCCCCGAAAGGGGUGCUAAUACCGGAUAAUGUCUUCGGACCAAAGAUUUAUUGCCUUUGGAUGGGCCCGCGUUGGAUUAGCUAGUUGGUAGGGUAAAAGCCUACCAAGGCGACGAUCCAUAGCUGGUCUGAGAGGAUGAUCAGCCACACUGGGACUGAGACACGGCCCAGACUCCUACGGGAGGCAGCAGUGGGGAAUAUUGGACAAUGGGCGAAAGCCUGAUCCAGCAAUGCCGCGUGAGUGAUGAAGGCCUUAGGGUUGUAAUGCUCUUUUACCCGGGAUGAUAAUGACAGUACCGGGAGAAUAAGCUCCGGCUAACUCCGUG
rnacentral:rRNA from 1 species